rnacentral:rRNA from 1 species
AUGAAUCUCCUAAGAUGGAAUUGUCGCGGGAUUGGCAACGCCCAGACAAUUCAAGAGCUACGCGAAAUCGCGAUAAAGUUUGCCCCAAAAGUACUCUGUAUUGUCAAAACCCAGAUUAGUGGUAGUAGAGCAGAAAAUCUUAAGAGUACUUUAGGUUAUGACAAUUCUUUUGCUGUUGAUUCUUCUGGUAGGAGUGGAGGUUUAGUAAUGUUUUGGAAUAAUGAAAUAAAGAUUGAGAAUUUGAGUUAUUCUAAGUAUCAUAUGGAUGUGAAAAUCAGUUCGCUCGGAGGCGAGCCAUGGAGACUUUCUUGCUUCUAUGGAGAGGCUCAAACGCACCUGCGUCAUCACACAUGGACCACAAUGAAAAAUCUGUCCAGCCUCCAUGAUAUACCCUGGCUAUGUUUGGGGGAUUUUAACGAGGUUUUGCGACAAGAUGAGCAUGAUGGCAUUGGCACUCAUAGUCAAUCCCAGAUACAGGGUUUUAGAGAUGCAGUGGAUGUUUGUGAUCUCUUAGAUCUUGGCUUCACUGGAAGGAAAUGGACGUACGAGAAAAAGGUGUCAGGAGGCUCCUUUACACGGGUGCGCCUGGAUAGGGCACUCGGGACAGCUGAGUGGUGUUCGUAA